ACGGGAGGCAGCAGUGGGGAAUAUUGCACAAUGGGCGCAAGCCUGAUGCAGCGACGCCGCGUGAGGGAUGACGGCCUUCGGGUUGUAAACCUCUUUCAGCACGGAAGAAGCGAAAGUGACGGUACGUGCAGAAGAAGCGCCGGCUAACUACGUGCCAGCAGCCGCGGUAAUACGUAGGGCGCAAGCGUUGUCCGGAAUUAUUGGGCGUAAAGAGCUCGUAGGCGGUUUGUCGCGUCUGCUGUGAAAGCCCGGGGCUUAACCCCGGGUGUGCAGUGGGUACGGGCAGACUUGAGUGCAGUAGGGGAGACUGGAACUCCUGGUGUAGCGGUGAAAUGCGCAGAUAUCAGGAAGAACACCGAUGGCGAAGGCAGGUCUCUGGGCUGUUACUGACGCUGAGGAGCGAAAGCAUGGGGAGCGAACAGGAUUAGAUACCCUGGUAGUCCAUGCCGU
rnacentral:rRNA from 1 species